UCACCUACUACCUGCCAGGCAUUUGCAGGCAGAUUUCUGAACGAGAAUUUAAAAGCCACAAGCAGUUCCGUCAUGGCUUUUAAUGGGCUCGACUUACGACUGCAAUCAAGCCCAGAGUUUAUGUUCUUAAGUGAGACAUUUGUCAAGGGAGUUUUGCCCCAUUUUAGGCAAGGGAGGGGGGGAAAGGGGUUUGGAAGAGCAGUGCGGCAGCUUGGAAAUAGAAAGUGCAUUCCAUACAUAGUUUU